rnacentral:misc_RNA from 1 species
GAUGAAGAACGUAGCGAAAUGCGAUAAGUAAUGUGAAUUGCAGAUUUCAGUGAAUCAUCGAAUCUUUGAACGCACCUUGCGCCUUGUGGUAUUCCACAAGGCAUGCCCGUUUGAGUAUCAUUAAAUCAUCAACUCUAAAACCUUUGUGGUUUUUUUUAGAGCUUGGUCUUGAGGGUUUUGCAGGCUUUUUUUUUUUUUCGAGUCUGCUCCCUUUAACUGCAUUAGCGAGACUUCCCUAUGCUGAACCGUCUCUUUGACGUGAUAAUUAUCUGCGUCGAAUUUUGGUUCUCGUUGGGCUUGCUUCUAAUCGUCUGUUAAAGACAAAACGGAUUUGGGUGCAUAUAUGCGCCUUUUUCCAAAACCUUUUUUUGAUCUCAAAUCGGGUAGGACUACCCGCUGAACUUAAGCAUAUCAAUAAGCGGAGGA